UCGGCUUCCGGCCUUUGCUAAGAUCAAGUGUAGUAUUCUUUCUUAUCAGUUUAAUAUUGAUACGUCCCGCUAUCUGGGACCAAUACUAUUAAAUGGAUUUUGGGAACAGGGAGAUGGAAGAAGAGCUUUGCCCUGUCCACAUCACGCAUCGACCUAGGUAAUUUGGCCACGUACCUCCAGACCGGUGCACCCUCU
ensembl:snRNA U2 U2 spliceosomal RNA